rnacentral:rRNA from 1 species
CAAUAGCGUAUAUUAAAGUUGUUGCAGUUAAAAAGCUCGUAGUUGGAUUUCUGGGAGGGUGCCGCCGUCCGGCGUGUCCGUGUGCAGUGGCGCCCUUCCAUCCUUCUGUUAGCGUCUCUUGGCAUUCAUUUGCUGGUGGCGGGCUCAGAUAUUUUACCUUGAGAAAAUUAGAGUGUUUCAGGCAGGCUAGGCCGGAAUACAUUAGCAUGGAAUAAUGGAAUAGGACUACGGUCUUUUUGUUGGUUUGAGGGACUGCAGUAAUGAUUAAUAGGGAUAGUUGGGGGCAUUAGUAUUUAAUUGUCAGAGGUGGAAUUCUCAGAUUUGUUAAAGACUAACUUAUGCGAAAGCAUUUGCCAAGGAUGUUUUCAUUAA